UAAUACGUAGGUGGCAAGCGUUGUCCGGAUUUAUUGGGUUUAAAGGGUGCGUAGGUUGUUUUGUAAGUCAGUGGUGAAAUCCGGCAGCUCAACUGUCGAUGUGCCAUUGAUACUGCAGAACUUGAGUACAGACGAGGUAGGCGGAAUUGACGGUGUAGCGGUGAAAUGCUUAGAUAUCGUCAAGAACACCGAUAGCGAAGGCAGCUUACUAGACUGUAACUGACACUGAUGCACGAAAGUGUGGGGAUCAAACAGG
rnacentral:rRNA from 1 species